UUACCCAAUCCUGACACAGGGAGGUAGUGACAAGAAAUAACAAUACGGGGCUUAAUGUCUUGUAAUUGGAAUGAUGGGAAUUUAAACCUCUUCCAGAGUAUCAAUUGGAGGGCAAGUCUGGUGCCAGCAGCCGCGGUAAUUCCAGCUCCAAUAGCGUAUAUUAAAAUUGUUGCAGUUAAAAAGCUCGUAGUUGAAUUUCUGCUGCAUUACAUAUCUCUUGUUUGAGUUUGUUUUUGUGGCUUAUUUCGGAUUGAUUUUUUCUUUCCGGAUGAUUACUUUGAGAAAAUUAGAGUGCUCAAAGCAGGCUUUUGCCUUGAAUAGUUUAGCAUGGAAUAAUAAAGUAGGACUUUGGUUCUAUUUUGUUGGUUUUAGGUACCAAAGUAAUGGUUAAUAGGAACAGUUGGGGGCAUUCGUAUUUAACUGUCAGAGGUGAAAUUCUUAGAUUUGUUAAAGACGAACUACUGCGAAAGCAUUUGCCAAGGAUGUUUUCAUAAUCAAGAACGAAAGU
rnacentral:rRNA from 1 species